rnacentral:rRNA from 1 species
AGUUUGAUCCUGGCUCAGGACGAACGCUGGCGGCGUGCCUAAUACAUGCAAGUCGAACGCUUCUUUUUCCACCGGAGCUUGCUCCACCGGAAAAAGAAGAGUGGCGAACGGGUGAGUAACACGUGGGUAACCUGCCCAUCAGAAGGGGAUAACACUUGGAAACAGGUGCUAAUACCGUAUAACAAUCGAAACCGCAUGGUUUUGAUUUGAAAGGCGCUUUCGGGUGUCGCUGAUGGAUGGACCCGCGGUGCAUUAGCUAGUUGGUGAGGUAACGGCUCACCAAGGCGACGAUGCAUAGCCGACCUGAGAGGGUGAUCGGCCACAUUGGGACUGAGACACGGCCCAAACUCCUACGGGAGGCAGCAGUAGGGAAUCUUCGGCAAUGGACGAAAGUCUGACCGAGCAACGCCGCGUGAGUGAAGAAGGUUUUCGGAUCGUAAAACUCUGUUGUUAGAGAAGAACAAGGAUGAGAGUAACUGUUCAUCCCUUGACGGUAUCUAACCAGAAAGCCACGGCUAACUACGUGCCAGCAGCCGCGGUAAUACGUAGGUGGCAAGCGUUGUCCGGAUUUAUUGGGCGUAAAGCGAGCGCAGGCGGUUUCUUAAGUCUGAUGUGAAAGCCCCCGGCUCAACCGGGGAGGGUCAUUGGAAACUGGGAGACUUGAGUGCAGAAGAGGAGAGUGGAAUUCCAUGUGUAGCGGUGAAAUGCGUAGAUAUAUGGAGGAACACCAGUGGCGAAGGCGGCUCUCUGGUCUGUAACUGACGCUGAGGCUCGAAAGCGUGGGGAGCAAACAGGAUUAGAUACCCUGGUAGUCCACGCCGUAAACGAUGAGUGCUAAGUGUUGGAGGGUUUCCGCCCUUCAGUGCUGCAGCUAACGCAUUAAGCACUCCGCCUGGGGAGUACGACCGCAAGGUUGAAACUCAAAGGAAUUGACGGGGGCCCGCACAAGCGGUGGAGCAUGUGGUUUAAUUCGAAGCAACGCGAAGAACCUUACCAGGUCUUGACAUCCUUUGACCACUCUAGAGAUAGAGCUUCCCCUUCGGGGGCAAAGUGACAGGUGGUGCAUGGUUGUCGUCAGCUCGUGUCGUGAGAUGUUGGGUUAAGUCCCGCAACGAGCGCAACCCUUAUUGUUAGUUGCCAUCAUUUAGUUGGGCACUCUAGCAAGACUGCCGGUGACAAACCGGAGGAAGGUGGGGAUGACGUCAAAUCAUCAUGCCCCUUAUGACCUGGGCUACACACGUGCUACAAUGGGAAGUACAACGAGUCGCAAAGUCGCGAGGCUAAGCUAAUCUCUUAAAGCUUCUCUCAGUUCGGAUUGUAGGCUGCAACUCGCCUACAUGAAGCCGGAAUCGCUAGUAAUCGCGGAUCAGCACGCCGCGGUGAAUACGUUCCCGGGCCUUGUACACACCGCCCGUCACACCACGAGAGUUUGUAACACCCGAAGUCGGUGAGGUAACCUUUUGGAGCCAGCCGCCUAAGGUGGGAUAGAUGAUUGGGGUGAAGUCGUAACAAGGUAACC